rnacentral:rRNA from 1 species
AACGAACGCUGGCGGCAUGCCUAACACAUGCAAGUCGAACGAGACCUUCGGGUCUAGUGGCGCACGGGUGCGUAACGCGUGGGAACCUGCCCUUAGGUUCGGAAUAACUCCCCGAAAGGGGUGCUAAUACCGGAUAAUGUCUUCGGACCAAAGAUUUAUCGCCUUUGGAUGGGCCCGCGUUGGAUUAGCUAGUUGGUAGGGUAAAAGCCUACCAAGGCGACGAUCCAUAGCUGGUCUGAGAGGAUGAUAAGCCACACUGGGACUGAGACGCGGCCCAGACUCCUACGGGAGGCAGCAGUGGGGAAUAUUGGACAAUGGGCGAAAGCCUGAACCAGCAAUGCCGCGUGAGUGAUGAAGGCCUUAGGGUUGUAAAGCUCUUUUACCCGGGAUGAUAAUGACAGUACCGGGAGAAUAAGCUCCGGCUAACUCCGUG